UGGGGAAUAUUGGACAAUGGGCGAAAGCCUGAUCCAGCGACGCCGCGUGAGUGAUGAAGGCCUUCGGGUUGUAAAGCUCUGUUGAGGGAGAAGAAAACAGUUAGAACUAAUAUGUCUAGCUCUUGACGGUAUCCCUUUAGAAAGCACCGGCUAACUCUGUGCCAGCAGCCGCGGUAAUACGUAGGGUGCAAGCGUUAAUCGGAAUUACUGGGCGUAAAGCGUGCGCAGGCGGCUUUGCAAGACAGAUGUGAAAUCCCCGGGCUUAACCUGGGAACUGCAUUUGUGACUGCAUCGCUAGAGUACGGCAGAGGGGGAUGGAAUUCCGCGUGUAGCAGUGAAAUGCGUAGAUAUGCGGAGGAACACCGAUGGCGAAGGCAAUCCCCUGGGCCUGUACUGACGCUCAUGCACGAAAGCGUGGGGAGCAAA
rnacentral:rRNA from 1 species